UACGUAGGGACCAAGCGUUGUUCGGAUUUACUGGGCGUAAAGGGCGCGUAGGCGGCGUGGUAAGUCACUUGUGGAAAUCUCUGAGCUUAACUCAGAACGGCCAAAGUGAUACUGCUGUGCUAGAGUGCAGAAGGGGCAAUCGGAAUUCUUGGUGUAGCGGUGAAAUGCGUAGAUAUCAAGAGGAACACCUGAGGUGAAGACGGGUUGCUGGGCUGACACUGACGCUGAGGCGCGAAAGCCAGGGGAGCAAAACGGG
rnacentral:rRNA from 1 species